rnacentral:rRNA from 1 species
CCUACGGGUGGCAGCAGUGGGGAAUAUUGCACAAUGGGGGGAACCCUGAUGCAGCGACGCCGCGUGAGUGAAGAAGUAUUUCGGUAUGUAAAGCUCUAUCAGCAGGGAAGAAAAUGACGGUACCUGCCUAAGAAGCCCCGGCUAACUACGUGCCAGCAGCCGCGGUAAUACGUAGGGGGCAAGCGGUAUCCGGAUUUAAUGGGUGCAAAGGGAGAGUAGACGGUUAUGCAAGUCUGAAGUGAAAGCCUAAGGCUCAACCAUGGGACUGCUUUGGAAAGUGUAAAACUGGAGUGCAGGAGAGGUAAGCGGAAUUCCUAGUGGAGCGGUGACAUGCGUAGAUAUUAGGAGGAACACCAGUGGCGAAGGCGGCUUACUGGACUGUAACUGACGUUGAGGCUCGAAGGCGUGGGGAGCAAACAGGAUUAGAUACCCUAGUAGUC